GAAGGAGACUCUGGAGCUGUUGAAGUUCUGUGUUGGAAGACGUUCCUUGCCUUUCUCCCGUGAUGUAGAUGGCAGCAUUCAAAACAAUCCAGUUUACCGGAUUAGACUACGAAGUGGGACUGAAUCCAUAACAUGAGAAACAGCAAACGGUGAAAGACUCUGAUGCAACAAAAUUCGGACUUGCACAGCAAAAUUCAAGGC